CAAAUAAAUCUCUUUUAAAAGAACUUUAGUGAAUAGGUCUCAUUAGCAGUACACACAUGCAUAGUGAGAGUAGUACCAGCAGGAUUCUGAGUCCCCGGACCGAAGCACCUUGAGGGUCUGGGAAACUGUGUUGCCUUGGGACAGUACUGGAGCACGUGGACCAGGGGGCGGGAACAGUCCCCUCUGCGGUUUUCUAUUGGAGAAGACGAAAAGAGAUUGCAUGCCAAUUGGUUGGGAGAGGUAGCGGCUGGGGAGAGGCGAGGCCGCUGCAGGAUCAAGACUCUGCUCUUCUCUGUCGCCAAGGCUGGCAGAAACUGGUGCUCGGCCUCGUCUUCCUGGUCUUUCCAGGUCGGGCUGACGGCGCUGCUGCCCAACCUGCUGGUGUUCAGAAAGGCCUGGGGCCCAGGGCCCGAGCUCACCCACAGUGCAGGGUGUCCUGUUUGGCGUCCAUGUGACUGGUGAGAGCGAGGAGCAACCAGAGACCUGGUGGCAGUUGCAGUGUUAGGGUCCGUUUAGGGGUCCAAAGGAACAGAACAGACGAUGCAAUCUGCACAGAGAGGGAAUGUGCUCCUGGCACUCUGGACAGUGGAACUGAACCAGCUAAGUGACAUCAUUAUCCUAGUGGUGAAAUGCAGCCUGGAAAUACAGGAGAAGUUUGGAGUCUGCCAUACCAGGGAAGACCAGGAUCUUCAGAUAAUGAUAGCUAAGAGAUAUGUGGAUCAUAGACCCAUUUGA
rnacentral:lncRNA from 1 species